rnacentral:rRNA from 1 species
CGGGUGAGUAAUGCGUGACCAACCUGCCCCAUGCUCCAGAAUAGCUCUUGGAAACGGGUGGUAAUGCUGGAUGCUCCAACUUGACGCAUGUCUUGUUGGGAAAGUGUUUAGUGGCAUGGGAUGGGGUCGCGUCCUAUCAGCUUGUAGGCGGGGUAAUGGCCCACCUAGGCUUCGACGGGUAGCCGGCCUGAGAGGGCGGACGGCCACAUUGGGACUGAGAUACGACCCAGACUCCUACGGGAGGCAGCAGAC